rnacentral:misc_RNA from 1 species
GAUGAAGAACGCAGCGAAAUGCGAUAAGUAAUGUGAACUGCAGAAUUCAGUGAAUCAUCGAAUCUUUGAACGCACAUUGCGCCCCUUGGUAUUCCGAGGGGCAUGCCUGUUCGAGCGUCAUUAUAACCCCUCAAGCUCAGCUUGGUGUUGGGGCCUGCUGCACUGGCAGCCCUUAAAAUCAGUGGCGGCGCCAUCUGGCUCUAAGCGUAGUAAUUCUUCUCGCUAUGGAGUCCUGGUGGAUGCUUGCCAUCAACCCCCAAUUUUUCUAUGGUUGACCUCGGAUCAGGUAGGGAUACCCGCUGAACUUAAGCAUAUCAAUAAGCGGAGGA